rnacentral:lncRNA from 1 species
AGAAUGCAGUCGGUGGGGAAGAAGAGGUGGCCGUCGGGCAGCACAGGCCUGAGGGACUAGGGCUGGGAGAGAAGACAGGUCCAAGCAAGAGCCAACGGAAGUCAGUGGCCGGGGAGAGAAGAACAGUUUAAGAUAUUGCAACAUUUUAGAUGGAGAGAGUUGAGAACAUAACCAAAGCAAGGAGGUAUGGAAAAUGGACGGGAAAAACUGAAGGAGAUGGCAGGUGGAAAAGAACAGAGAGAAGAGGGAGCGGCACCAGGAAAACUGAGUUCAUGGAAAGACAAGACGGUUCGAAUGUAAACAGCCAGAAGAGAGGAGAUACUUGCACGGGACUUCCCACCGCUCUCCCCAGACCAACUGACUUCUUCCCUUGGGGGAGAAGUGAUGACUUCUUUGAUGGAGAGAACAAAGUUGCGCCUCUGGGACUGGCAGAACCUGCCUGCUUCUGCCGGGGAGGAAGGGCCCUGACAGUGAACCCUGCUCCCCAGGGCCCAGAUGGAUGCCUGCAACACAAGCCACCCUCUCCCCAUUCUGGGUCGUGAAAACCAGGGAAGAAAGACAAAUCCCAGAUGAUCUUCUCUAGUCUGAUUUAUCACCAGUGUAAGAAGCUGCAUUUUUGUUCCUGGGAAAGUUAAGCUUGAUUGUGCUGAUUUGAUUGGCUUGGGAACCACUGGGGCAGGCAUUCAUGGAGCCUAACUCUGGGUUUGUCUGGGUGGGUCACAGGGGCAUGACCUUGGGUGCCUGUCCUGGUCCUUGGCCUCUUCCUCUCUGGCACUGCUCCCCAGCUCUCCUUCCCAGCCACCGUGAGCUGGGCAGCUUUGUGCUUCUUAGCCCUUCCAUCUUGAUGUUUCUGCACUGGAGCCACUGGCCAUGAACUGAAUCUGCUAAAACCGUGAGCCAAAUAAAACCCCCCUUCCUUUAAACUGUGGGUGUCAGGCAUGGUGUCCCAGCAAUCAGGACGCUGGUGGAUACCAUCCUGAACAGAUUAUGACUUUAC